CUCAGUUCCUUCAGUGCUACCGCGCCACUGCCCGCCUGACGCUUCUUGGCAGCUCUGAUUUUUCCUUCCGGAUCAAUGCAGACCUUUUCCCAUGGCACUCUUCGCUUAAUUCAGCAGCAAUUUAAAUAUUCGUAAAAGUCUGGUGCUUAAAUUCGAAAAUAAAUAAAAGAAACGCGGGGUCUCGGGUCUCACACCUGCAUGUGUCCUCUCCCGUGGAUGUGGAUAUUCUUCUCGCUAAUCCUACCUCCAGAGUUUCUUUCUCGUAAGGUUCAGUGGCAAGAGGUAAAAACUCUGCAGACUGUGCUUUUAUAGAUAGUAUUACACAGGCAGGCAACCUCUGCCCACAUUCCUUACUCCCUGCUAGGGCAAGAUCACACUUCCCCUCUCCUUCUCCCAGUAGUUAUUUCUCCCCUCUCCCUGAAAACCGUGUCUCUUCCUAGCCUAUUCCCAGGAUCAAUGGUAAAUAUGGACAAAGAAUAAAGAAUAUGUAUCCUGGUGAGAGCGGUUAGGAGCAAAUUAUCUGAGUGUGAUGGCUGGUAUAUAGGGAAGCACUGCCCUGCUUCAGCUCGGGCUCCAGGGUCACAGGCGGUUUUAGGGUAGCUGCAGGGGGCGACACAACAGUGCUGUAGGAUGGAGUUGGAGAGGUGGUGGGCCGGCGAAUUUUAGCAUUGCACAGGGUGCCACUGAAAUUUGAGAGCCCAAAUCCAUCACUGCCCAGGUAUUCCCACAGGUCUUUCAAAAUCACCACCAGUGGGGAUUGAUGCAGCCACUAAGACAAUUUAAUAGCUGUUAGGCCUCCAGAGAUAUUUACUUUCUAAUACUUUCCUAUACAUAGCAGUGAUGACCACCCAGUGGCAGCUUGAUGAGGAAGAUUCCUAUGAUGGUUUUGAAAGUAUCCAGGCAUGGCCUGUACCCUCUGAUUUCCCCUCCAGCAGUUUCCUGUCUCCUCUCCCCAGGAAAAACCUUUUUUUAAAAAAAGAAAAUAUCCAAGCAUCUAAGGGAAUUUUAUUCUCUGAGGGUUUAUCAUGCCACCUUUCAUUCUUCAGAACAGUUAAAUACUUGUUGCACUGAGCAACCCCAUGAAUAUCUAAUUAUUUUCCUUUAAAAAAACAACAAUAACGAAAGGUUAAAAAGAUACUGCUUGUCUCUUGUUUUCUUAAGCAAACUACAUAAACCUCUGUCUUCAAAACCAACUAAAACUCUUGAGGCAUCUUAAACACUAACAAAUUUAUUAUAGCACAAGUGUUUGUGGACUCAAGGCCAUUUCAACAGAUGCAAGUCAAGGGGACUUGAGUCCAUUAACGCUUGUACCAUAAUGAAUUUGUAGUUCUGAAGGUGCCACAGGGUUUUUAAAAAAAACAAAACUAUUUUUUCCCCCUGCAAGAGACUAUUACAUAUACACCUCUGGAAAUUUAUAUGACCAGGCUCAGUUGUCUCCUUCGUCAUGUUGUCUGCUUUUCAUGUGUUAGUGAUGGCUUAGGUCUAGGCAUAAAAUCACCAAGGUGUAUAGUGUGUGCAUGCAUGUGCAUUUAGAACUGCAUUCUAACAAAUUCACAUGCUUUCCUUCAAUUCCAUGUUAUUCUCUUUUCAUCCUACAAAAAACUCUUGGAUGUCAAAUCAUUAUUAAUUUUAUGGUUGUUGUUGUUGCUGCUGCUAUUUAUUUAUUUAAUAAAAAUUACACACCGCUUCAUUGUAAAAAAAAGAAAUAAAUCUCAAAGCAGUUUACUAAAGAUAAAGAGAGUAGAGAAACUCACAACCAUACUUUUAAAACAUACAAACUACAGCUGUCAUCGCUGCUACCUCCAGAGGAGGUAAACACAGGAACAUGGGAAGCUACCCUAUAUCAAUAUAUCCCCAUAGCUACAAACCUUUCCAUAAGAAAGUAACUAAGAAAAAAGUUUUAAAAUAAAAGAAAAAAGCCACCAAAAUAUAAGCAAUAAAACGAAUGUAACAUUAAUGAAUGACUGAUAAAAUGAUGAAUGCACUUAUAAAAUAGAAGUGAACAGACAAAUGAAAAAUUUAAAACACUUCAGUGUUUUAAGUCCGCCAUACACAGCAAUAAAAUUCAGAGUUGUAUUAUAUAAACCAUGUAAAACACAUUUCUUCUUCUUCUUCUCUGGCGAUCACUCGUGGCCGAGUAAGAUUGUCUUCCAUAAACACAGUUUUAACAGUGUUGAAGCAAUGAUUCUUUAACAUCAACUUUGUUGGACUGGUCUAGUUGUUCAGAUCAGUGGCGUAGCGUGGGGGGUGCAGGGGGUGCCGGCCACACCGGGCACAACAUCUGGGGGUUAGGGUUAGGGGGUGCAAAUCCACAGGUUAGGGGGUGCAAAUUACUUGCCUUGCCCCGGGUGCUGACAACCCACGCUAUGCCACUGGUUCAGAUGCCUGAUUAUUGUCUUCCAUAGCAACUACAGUGGUACCUCUGGUUACGUACUUAAUUCGUUCUGGAGGUCCUUUCUUAACCUGAAACUGUUCUUAACCUGAGGUACCACUUUAGCUAAUGGGGCCUCCUGCUGCCACCACUGCACAAUUUCUGUUCUCAUCCUGAAGCAAAGUUCUUAACCCAAGGUACUAUUUCUGGGUUAGUGGAGCCUGUAAGCUGAAGCAUCUGUAACCCGAGGUACCACUGUACUCUAUUCUGAACUUUAAAAUGGAAAGUGUAAUGCUGGUGGUCAACGAAAGAGGUUUGAAGACUCUCUCAAGGCAAAUCUUAAAACAAAAAUGAAGAAGUAUAAAACACAUUACAUAUUAUCUGUCACACUUAUUUUCCUCGGAGUAAAUGCAGGGCUUUUAUUUCCACCAGAACUUACCGGAACUCAGUUCUGGCACCUCUCAGGUGGGCACCAUUGCCAUUCUAAGAGAACAAGGGAGGUGUCUAUGGUGAGUUCCUUUUCUAGAAAAAUAGCACUGGUAUAUAUGCCAUAACAAAACAUCCCUCAGCAAUAAGUGGUACAGUAAGGGGGAAUCUGACUAGAUGACCCUUCCAACUCUACAAUGUCUAUGAUUCUUGCAGGUAGAUGGAUUUUUCACCAUUUGCACAAGCAAACCUUGCUGAUUGAGUGGCAUCAGUCUGGAACCUGUCUAUGACCUCCAAGAACUGAAUCCAGGCCUGUUGUCAAAUACUGCAUGCCAGUCUUUCUCCAGGGGGUCAGGUACAUGCAUAAAUUUAUCAGUACAGUAUGCCUUAUGACUGCCCUCAGAUUUCUGUACCCUGAUAAAUGGAAGGCAAGAGUCUGUGAAGGUGAAGCAGCUCACGGGACACUGAAAACAGGGCACACUGUUGGUGCUGGAAGGAUUCUUUGAAACCGGAGUGGUGGGGAUGGGGUUUGAUAACUAUGGGUUUUCACAUUUUUGUCUGUUCUCAUUCUGGUUUUUCGUCUCAAACAUUUCCAUAAAAGCACUUAAGUGUUUCAAAAUAUUUUGUUUCCAUUCCAAUUAUUUCACUUUGCUUCAGUUCCAAGUUAGCAGGACCGGAUUUUAACACACAGGAUUCUUAGGUAUCUUAACAUGCCAAAAACACUGAAAAUUAUUUCCCUUUGAUAAGGAAUGUCCUGCUGUGACUUCCUCACCAUAUCUAUUGAUACAAUAUUUUUGCUUUGCCUACUGUUAGUUACAUACAUUAAAACUGCUUCAGCUAUUCACUAUUUUGACUGCAUGCUAGUGUAAUUGUUUUAUGGUGUACAAAUUGUAUGGUUUUACUAUGCAUUAACUGCAUUUUUAGUGACUUUGAAGAUCGAUAUUGUUUUUGGACUGGUUUCUUAUGGUAUUAAUAUACUAUAAUAUUUAUCUCGGGGCAGCUUUGUUGUUAACUGAGAUAAAUUCUUAUUGUUGAAGUGAAUGUUUAUGAAUGCAUUUCUAUAGAAUUAACAGAUCCAUUGUAUGAUUGAAAUAUUG
rnacentral:lncRNA from 1 species